GACCCGUUUUCCGAACUGUCACCGUAUGGUGCGCGUGUCUGGAUAACCAGAAUAGGAAGCGGGUAUUUU
rnacentral:sRNA from 12 species